rnacentral:rRNA from 1 species
UACGUAGGGUCCGAGCGUUGUCCGGAAUUACUGGGCGUAAAGAGCUCGUAGGCGGUUUGUCGCGUCUGCUGUGAAAACGCGAGGCUCAACCUCGCGCCUGCAGUGGGUACGGGCAGACUAGAGUGCGGUAGGGGAGAUUGGAAUUCCUGGUGUAGCGGUGGAAUGCGCAGAUAUCAGGAGGAACACCGAUGGCGAAGGCAGAUCUCUGGGCCGUAACUGACGCUGAGGAGCGAAAGCGUGGGGAGCGAACAGG